UCGGCCCCACAAACGCACUUUCUAUUCUUUUCUCCUGGACUUUAUUUGUGGUGAGACCUUGGCCUCACUAGCUCCUCAUCUUUCCCAUCAGGCACAGAAAGCAGCAAAGCUACCACAGCGCUGUCACCAUGUCCUUGUGUGAUUUCUUAGCUGUGAUUCAGAACGGUGAUUUAAAAGUAAAAUAACUGGCUGGAAAAGGGGAAUGAAUCCGUGGAGCCAGAAAGACAUGUCUAUCUGAAGCUCACACUCCACCUGUACUCCAGGAAAUCUGUCCAAAUGAGCUCCCUAGCCUAUGAAUAAGUUCUGUAUGAUCAUCUCUCCUACGUCAGAUUUCCUGAGGUUGAUUUGAGCUGUCAGUUGUUUGGAGGAAGGUUGUGAUCCUUGUCUGCAGGCCAAAGCUGCCUCAUCAGCACCACUUUUGAUACCUAGUCUGUGGAUAAGCUAAUGAGAAUAAGCAGAAGAUAUAUAAUUUCUUUCUGUGGAAAAGGCACACCAGUUGCAUGCAUCUCUUGUGCUCAUGUGCCAUUGAAAGAUCCAAUGUCUUCUUCACAAGUCUUAAAAGGAUUCAUAGAGGUAUCAAUCAGGACAGAUUGAGUUAUGCUAUGAAAACAAACAACCAGAAAACUCUCAGUGAUUUGAAAUAGGAAAACAUUUCUUGCCCAUGCUACAUACCUCGUGUGGUUGGCAAGGUUGAUGGAGGCAGCAGCAUCUUGACAAAAGCUUCCGUGAUCACAGAAUGACGUGCAAGAGAAUAUAGCAGGACGUGUUCUGGUAUGUACUACUUCUGCCUGGAAGUGACACAUAGCAUGUCCAUUCAUGUUUUAUUGGCCAAAGGAAGCCACAAGGCAACAUCUUACUUCAAGUGGCAGCAAGUCCUAACCUACCAUGUGUCUGGAAUAAGAUUACUCAGCAUCUGUGAAUAGCCCCAAUGACAACUACAGCCUGCCCUUUGAGUUAUAAAUAUCCAGAUCCCUAUCUUUUCCACAUGCAAUAUAAGCUAACCUCCCCAAAGAGGAAGAAAACCCACACGCCCCACCCAAUUUUUAAUUAGCCUCAAAGUCUCGUACUUUGAAAUCAUUUGUAUCAAGUCCAAGAUGGCUUGAAAAUCAGAAAAAAGAAAAGAUAUAUGCCCCUGAUAAACACUAUAUAAGUAGUGAGUCAGAAAAAGAUAACGGUGAUAAAACACUCCCGUUCUACUGCUACAGACAGUUAGCUAUCCUGAAAUCUCACUGAGCAGGCAUUGUGAAGAGCCCUUACCCUGGGCAGCGGGUGGGAGGGAAAUUCUUCGCUAAGCUUUAGUCUACUUCCCGUUGGUAGCUUCUUCAAUUCUCUGGACUCUAUCCCAUGACUCCAUGGCUACAUCCUUGGGGCUGGGCAGCUUCCUCAGUUGGGUUCCUGCUUCUAGAGAAUUGAGGUCCCAAGGUCCAGGUUAAGUAUUUAAUAGGCCUACUCCUUUUUAAUUCAAGCUGUUGAUAUUGAUGUCAUAAUCCAUACACUGUCUUUAACUCUUUUAGAAAGUUAUUCUUAUCUGUUCAAGUCUAGUCAACUCUAUGUGCUAUUACCAAACUCAUAAGUGUUUUAGAUACGUAUCUUUCUCUCUAGACUUAAUUAUGGGUAUCUUGAAACUCUCAGUUGUCCAUGGCAUGGUUAAAAUCUUAAUUUCUUCUCCAUACUGAGCAUCACCAUACUAAACUUAGAGAAUAUAACAAUAUGAAGGCCAUACCAUUUAUUUGAUCCAUUCUAGAGAGCCCAAGUGUUAAUAAGCUCUGUUGGGAAAUGUUCUUUCUUAAUUGACAAGUAUUAAAUUUCCAAAAUCUCUCCUUCUUUUCAUUCCUGCUAGAAAAUUUGCUACUCUUUUCUGAACACAUUUCUUUUCAAAUGCUGGGAAUAGUAUUGAAUCCAUGCUACAAAUAUUCUAUUGUCCAACCUCUCGACUUAAAGUUUCAGUCUCAUUAGAGACAUUAUCUUCCUUUUCAGUUUCUCAGGUGAGCAUUAUCUCACAUAUUUUACAAACCUAAAACCUAUUAUUAUACUUUGCACACGGUAAAGAUUUGGUACAUGUCUAUUGGUAUACUCAUAAAAAUAAAAGGUAUCCAUUCAUUUAUUUACACAUUUAUUCAAUUAAUUUAUGCACAAAUAUAUCUUAAGUGCUUAUCCAAUAUUAUAUGUGCCUCUGAAAUACAAACCAGAUAUUAUAGUAAACAGCAAGAAAUAAAAUUCUUUGCUAGCUCAUGUAUUAUUAAAAAGAGUAUACAAAAACAUGUUUACUGGAAGC